rnacentral:lncRNA from 1 species
UUAAUGUAUAACUAACUGAAUGUGAUUUUUUUUAUGUUCCAGAAAUUGUAUGUACACAUUUGUAUAUAUAUAUAUAUAUGUAUAUGUAUAUGUAUAUGUGCGAAUGUGCAUUCUUUUAAAUUUUGUUUAUUCACAAUUUUUUUUUUUUUUCUUUAAUUUAUAUGACUAAACAAAUGAGUAUUUCUUAUAACUUUAAUGAGAAAUAUAUAAAAUAUUUUCAUGAGGGAUAUGUUUUAGAUUCUUCUGAAAAAAUAAAAAACACGGACUUAUACUUUUGUACUUUUUUAAAAAAAAAUGAAAAAAGAUUGGUUAGGAAAGAAAAACAUAUGUUAAUAAGUGGAGUAACUUUGUAUAAUUUACAAUAUAUUCGAAAUCUUACUUAUAAUAUUAACCCCACCAUUCCAAAGUAUUUGUUAAAAGUUUAUAACAUAUAUAAGGACAAAAAUUAUGCUUAUGUUGUAACGGAAAACUGCACGGGGGGCUUCUUUUGGGAUAUUUUAGGUGAUAAUAGCACAUUGAUAAGUGAAAAAAAACUAGCUGAAUGGAUUUAUCAAAUAUUAGUUACUCUCAUUUUUUUAGAAGAUAAUCAAAUUUAUCAUGGUAAUGUAAAUGGGUAUUGUAUUUUAUUUAAAGACAUAGAAAAAAAAGAAAUAAGAUUAAGUUUGUUAAGUAAAAGCAAUACAUAUGAUAAUAUCGACGAGAUAGGUGAUUUAUAUGGCUUAUAUUUUAUCAGAUCACCUCAAGAAAUUAAACAGUUAAAUUAUGAUAAAAAUAAUGCUUGGUAUGUAGGUAUGUCAUUAUAUUUUAUUUUAUAUGGUUCUUUUCCUUUUAUGAAUAAUUGCGUUUUGAAGAGUUAUUCAAGCAUAAUAAAAGAUGAAAUUAAUUUAAACUCGUUAAAAGUAAAAUAUAAUUACCUAGGUGACAAUAUUUUUAAUUUUAUAAAAAGUGCACUGGAAAAAAAUUAUGACUUGCGGCUUUCCACAAAGAAGCUGAUAGAGCAUCCCUGGAUAAAGGGUAACGAUGUUUUUAAUAAUUUAUAUAUAUAUAUAUAUAUAUAUAUAUAUAUA